ensembl:lncRNA
CAGAUGUGUACUACUAGUUCUCAGGCUAAUAAGAAAGACAGAGGUCCUUGGAUAAAAUAUUUCAGUAGUUUAUUCGUCGGUCCAACUGUACAUGAUGCAGUGUUGAUAGGGACACGAGAUGAUGACUAACAUGGAGUUUUACACAAUGCCAGUGCGAUGGCAGCACUUGGAACACACCAACUGUCUGUCAGCUGAGCUGGAAACUAAAGUCCUGGAAAUGUAACCUGUUGAGGCCUCGGCACAUACAGUAUGUCAGAUUUGGAAUAGUCAUUUUUAGAUCGGUUGAAAAACACACAAAAUAUAUAUUUUCUUCGAUUCCACAAAUGUAAAAGGAUGCUCUUUCGCUUUUCACUUGGACAUGUUGAUUCAAUUAUGCACAUUGUCAUUCUUUAUUUCAGUACUUUGAAGCGAAAUGAAAUGAGAUGUGGGAAUAGCUGAAUACAAAAUGUUGGCUGAUUCGCAGAGGUUUUAUUCCAUGUUUAUACUGAUAUCAUUAUUUCAUGUAAUAACCCCAUAAGUUUGUGCAACAUCUUUCUUUGCAUAGAAAUAAAAUUUAAAUAUUUUGUUUGUUGACAUGCACCUUUUCUUUAGCAGCAUAUUUUAUCUUGCGGAUUUGGGACUCCCUUACAGAAUUAUAAGCCCACUAUAGUGUGAAUACAUGCAGCGUACCAGCAGAGAUGAACUUGAUUUCUAGUAAGAGUUUAUGAGAGCACAAGCCAGCCAGUAUAGUGGGUGUUGAUGAGGACUGUUAAAUAGUGACACCACCUGAUCAGACAGGUGGAACUAGUCUGCAGGGACACACUGUGUGUCUGUCUGCAGCACUGUGAGAGAGAGGAACAGACUAUGGGGAAAGUGCUCUGUGUGCGACAACAUCCAAACAUUCCACGUGAUUGAUUCUUUGGAUUUUGAGUCACUACUGGAAGUACUUAAGGAACCCGAUGACGUCAUUCAUAGACUGUGUCAUGUGUGAUCCAUCUUUUUGUCAUUAUCACUAUGCCCCGACCUUUAGAGAUGACACAUGUGCUGUAUACCGCUAAAUCUGACCUCUAGAGAAGACACAUGUACUGUAUACCCCUAAAUCUGACCUCUAGAGAAGCACCCCUAAAUCUGACCUCCAGAGAAGACACCCCUAAAUCUGACCUCCGGAGAAGACACCCCUAAAUCUGACCUCUGCUCUGUCCCAUGUAUACUGAACUUGACCCUUGACCUCUAUAUUGGAUAAAUACAGUGUGUAACGAGUGAUAACUUUGCUGAACACCUAAUAGGUAGAUCAUUACAUUCUCUGGUUAUCCAUAGCAUUUUGAACCAAAUCAUAAUUCUGUUACUGUUUUCUUUCAUUAACAUUACCAUAAACACCCGCUAUACAACAUGCUUAAAAUAAACCCAAAGCAGAAAUGAUAUGUUAUAAUUCAGAAGCUGGACUCUUGUUCCUCUUUUAUGUACAAUCUUGCCCAAUGUAUAUAUUUCCAUUUAUUGAAUGUGGUCUGUAUUUCCCAUUUUUAUGAGGCGAUCUCCUCCAUUUGAUGAUUCAGUAGAUCUCUCUUUUUGCUGUGUGCUGUUCAUAGCUUUGCCAUGCAGUUCUUUGCGAGGGCUCCGCAUGCCAGGGCCAGCGAGCUGCACGCUCUGUGAGGGAAAUCAUGCCUGGUGAACCUCUGUGGACUGGCGAUCAGAAGAGAGGAGUUCUGUGGCUAUAGAUAUCAGGGUGGUGUUGUUAGGUGGUUGGGUUGUUAGGUAGGUGGGUUGUUCGGAAGGUGGGUUGUUAGGUAGGGUUGGUGGGGUUGUUAGAUUGUUGGGUUGUUAGGAAGGUGGGUUGUUAGGUAGGUUGGUGGGGUUGUUAGAUUGUUGGGUUGUUAGGUGGGUGGGUUGUUAGGUAGGUGGGUUGUUAGGUAGGUGGGUUGUUAUUUUUGAUGAUUUUUUUUUUACCCCUUUUUUCUCCCCAAUUUCGUGGUAUUCAAUUGGUAGUUACAGUCUUGUCUCAUCGCUGCAACUCCCGUACGGACUCAGGAGAUGCAAAGGUCGAGAGCCAUGCGUCCUCCGAAACACAACCCAACCUAGCCGCACUGCUUCUUGACAUAACGCACAUCCAACCUAUAUGUGCGUCCUCCAAUGUGUCGGAGGAAACACCGUACACCUGGCGACCUGGUCAAAAUGCACUGCGCCCUGCCACAGGAGUCGCUAGUGCGCGAUGAGACAAGGAUAUCCCUGCCGGCCAAACCCUCCCUAACCCGGACAACGCUGUGCAUCGCCCCAAGGACCUCCCGGUCGCGGCCGGCUGCGACAGAGCCUGGGCUUGAACCCAGAAUCUCUGCUGGCACUGCGAUGCAGUGCCUUUAGACAACUGUAACACCCGAGAGGCCCGGUAGGUGGAUUGUUAGGUAGGUGGGUUGUUAGGUGGUGAGGUUGUUAGGUAGGUGGGUGAGGUUGUUAGGUAGGUGGGUGGGGUUGUUAGGUAGGUGGGUGGGGUUGUUAGGUGGGUGGGUGGGGUUGUUAGGUGGGUUGUUAGGUAGGUGUGUGGGGUUGUUAGGAAGGUGGGUGGGGUUGUUAGGUAGGUGGGUG